UACGUAGGGGGCAAGCGUUGUCCGGAAUCAUUGGGCGUAAAGCGCGUGUAGGCGGCUCGAUAAGUCUGCUGUGAAAGUCCAGGGCUCAACCCUGGGAUGCCGGUGGAUACUGUCGAGCUCGAGUCCGGAAGAGGAGUGUGGAAUUCCUGGUGUAGCGGUGAAAUGCGCAGAUAUCAGGAGGAACACCAAUGGCGAAGGCAGCACUCUGGGACGUGACCGACGCUGAGACGCGAAAGCGUGGGGAGCAAACAGG
rnacentral:rRNA from 1 species